rfam:Oscillatoriales cyanobacterium JSC-12 chromosome, whole genome shotgun sequence.
GGGGCUAUAGCACAGUUGGUAGCGCGUCUCAAUGGCAUUGAGAAGGUCACCGGUUCGAAUCCGGUUAGCUCCA